rnacentral:misc_RNA from 1 species
GAUGAAGAACGUAGCGAAAUGCGAUAAGUAAUGCGAAUUGCAGAAUUCAGUGAGUCAUCGAAUCUUUGAACGCACAUUGCGCCCGCCAGUAUUCUGGCGGGCAUGCCUGUUCGAGCGUCAUUUCAACCAUCAAGCCCCCGGCUUGUGUUGGGGACCUGCGGCUGCCGCAGGCCCUGAAAACCAGUGGCGGGCUCGCUGUCACACCGAGCGUAGUAGAUUUUCAUCUCGCUCAGGGCGUGCUGCGGGUUCCGGCCGUAAAAAGCCUUAUUUACCCAAGGUUGACCUCGGAUCAGGUAGGAAGACCCGCUGAACUUAAGCAUAUCAAUAAGCGGAGGA